rnacentral:lncRNA from 1 species
AUUUCUUAGGGGAUAACCUGCUACUGUUUAUAGUUUCAAGAAAAGAAUAAUAAUGAUGACCUUCGUUUUGUGUUCAUUUCCACUACAGUCCACUGAGAUAUCACAAUCAAGGAGCUUUGGCACACACUACUACCACUACAGAAGAACACGUUGACUUCUGAAGCUCGCUGGAAGUGAAUUUUGCCGGGCUCUCAGCACAGAAGGAAGCCUGAGGGACCUCUUGCAGCAAUUGUCAACUUGAAGCUUUAAAAGAGCAGCUGGCAGUCCAUGAGCUUCUUAUGGCAGUUUUACUUGAUAUUUCAAAGAAUUGCUCGGUUGUGUGGACAUCUCUCUGCAUCCUGCUUUUCUGGGAGAUUUCACAAAGCAAAGCAACUGCUGACUUGAAGAGGAAACUUUGUAGCUGAUUGAUGUUUGUUGCUUCUCCUGUGUCUUGUAUGGGAAAUCUUCUGGGAUGAUUUUUUCUGCUGAGGUAAGAAUUUUAAAUGUUUU